UUGAAGAAGAAAAGAAAGGAAGAUAGAGGAAGUCUUCCCUUUAGCCAUUUGAAGGAAACAAAGAGGAAUGAAGAAGAGAGAAAGAAGAAGAAAAAGGAGAAGAAGAAAUCCAAGAAGCCUAGAGGAGUUUGAGGAAAUUAAAGGAAGUGAUUUUGGAGGCUUGAAGUUGUUGGAAACUUGAAGAUCCAUGGAGUAUUGAGGUAUUGAAGCAUGCUAUGGAAGGGUUUGGCAAGAGAAAGAGGCUUGAGCAUGAAGACAUUGAAUAUUUUUGUUUCAAAUGGUGUAAUUUAUGCUUUAAUUGUAUAUGCUUUGUGUAAGGGUUUCUUAAGCCCAAAGGGUAUAUUUUGAUGUGUAUGUAUGGAAAGGAAAAUCUGGAGA